CACCUGGGCGUUAUCUCUGAACGUGCCCAAUCGAUAAUGAAAUUCAACACAAUUUCACCACUAAGCCUGUCUCUCUGGGGCGGUUAUUUCUCUGUCAAACUAAACUACAUGCUGUCAGACUGACGUUGGCGGAACAAAAAGAAACCUGGAGGGUUGAGUACUUUUUAUUUAUUUAUUUAUUUUUUUAAAAGACUCAAUUAGUGCGAAUUGAGGAGGAAGUUGCGGGUGUGUAAUGGGUUAACGGCGGAAGGCCUCGCCUCACCUUUUGUGCGCGUCACCCGGCUUUGUAAAGUGGUCCCACCACCACCCCAGCAUCCAAACCGAGGGGGGUGGAAAUCACCGCCUCUCGCCGCCGACAGACGCGCAUCCUCGCCUCGGUCGUUCUCUCAUCAUCCUGUCGGUCUCCGCCCCGCCGCUCCAUCAUCACACACAUCCAUUAGGAAACGACAACUGACGGAAUAAGAGUGAUUCAGCGGCGAAGCAGGGCAGCAUGAAAGACCGCAUGCAAGAACUUAGACAUGGGAAGGAGACGACAGAGGAGGAGGAUGAAGUCACCGUUGGGAUGGAGAAAGGAUUUAUGGACGAAUUCUUUGAACAGGUGGAGGAGAUCCGGGGUUUUAUCGAGUCUCUGGCAGAGAAAGUUGAGGAGGUGAAGAGGAAGCACAGCGCCAUCCUCGCCUCACCCAACCCUGAUGAGAAAACUAAGGUUGAGCUGGAGGAUCUUAUGGCAGACAUCAAGAAGUUGGCCAACAAAGUACGCUCCAAAUUAAAGAGUAUCCUGCAAACCAUUGAGCAGGAAGAAAAGCAGAACAGGUCAUCAGCUGACUUGAGGAUACGUAAGACACAGCACUCCACACUGUCCCGUAAGUUUGUCGAGGUGAUGUCAGAGUACAACACCACCCAAUCGGACUACAGGGAGCGCUGCAAGGGACGCAUUCAAAGACAGCUGGAGAUCACUGGGAGAAACACAACAAAUGACGAGCUGGAGAGCAUGUUGGAGAGUGACAACCCAGCUAUCUUCACCUCGGGGAUCAUUAUGGACAACAUCACCCAGCAAGCUAUGAAUGAGAUCGAGACGCGGCACAAUGAGAUUAUCAAGUUGGAAAACAGCAUCAGAGAGCUUCAUGACAUGUUCAUGGACAUGGCCAUGUUGGUGGAGAACCAGCUCUAGAGAACAGAGAACAGCGCUCCCCUUCUAAUACAGCAAGGGCGAGCUGGUGAACAACAUUGAGCGGAGCGUGGUGGGGGCACAGGAAUAUGUGGAGCAGGCAAAGGAGAGCAUCCCAAAAUGCAAAAAGUUCAAAAAGACUGGCAAACGGAAGAUGAUCCUGAUAGGAGGUUGUGUUGCAGUAUGUCUGACCGUCCUCAUUAUUUCCCUUGUGGUUGGACUCAGUUAGGACCUUAAGAAACCCCCACAGAGAGACACUCUUUAUUAUUCAGAUGUUAAAAAUGUACUGUAUACUGGGUCUUAUGAUGUACAGUCAGUAAUUGCUUGUGAGCUGGGAAACUGGCUUACAUUACUGGUCUGAAGGCCGUUUAUGAGUAAACCAGCUCAAUAUGCUUCUGUGCACUUAAAUAUUUUAUAUUACAAAACAAUUAAAAUUUGCUUUUUCUAAACUAAAUAGUCAAGUACCUUGAGGAUCUGUUUGUGCUUUGUGUGCCAUGAUUCAUAUACCUUUGUCAUGUGCAUGUUCUGCAGUCUGUUAAAGAGCUUUGCAUGUUUUUCUACAAGCACAAAGCGGCAGAUAAAUUGUCAAGUUAAUUGAUAAUAAAUAUAAACAUGUGUGGAAUCAGAGUUUCAAAGAACAUUUUCAUUUUUCACACACCUCAGCAUAGAGUAAGUUCAUGAACAGUCAACCUUUCAGAUGAAUCUUACAUUGAGAACCCUGAUAAUGAGUCUAUCCAGAUCACUAUUUUGCAAAUAUAAGCUGUUGGUAGCACUAAAGGAAUAGUUCAAUAAUAUGGGAAAUUAGCUUAUUGGGUUUCUUGCCAAAGGUUAGAUGAGAAGAUCAAUAAAAACCUGUAAAAAGUGUAAAAACAUCAAGUUGUGGUUUAUUUUUCAAGGGGCUAUGUGCUGAGACUGAGCAGUUACUUCUUGGAGUCUCUGCUGGUUGCUUGGCAACCUCACGUUGACGACAAUACUCCAGGAAGUGUACUGACUGCACCUGGCCAAGAUAUAGUCCAGCACAUAAACCCGAUGGAUGUGUUAUAUUAUAAUACAUAUAAUACAUGCAGUUCUGAUAAUAAAUAUAAUUGAAAUAUAUAAUUUAUUUGAAAGUGCAAUGAUUAACCUCAGUAAGCAUGCAACUAGAAAAGGAAGUAAAGGUUCUUUUACACUACUUUAAUUGGGAGGAAAGGGGAAGUUCAGAGAGUUGAUGGAAAGUCAAGAGUCAAAAGGACAUAGUUGUCCUAUAAAACUGGGAAGUAAAACCUUAGAAUAGGAGAAAUUGGUGAUUGAGUCAUCCAAAAAACAGUCAGGAAUAUAUUAGCCUUAGAAUUAGAGAAGGAGCCAAACUUUAAAUCAAAGGCUGCAGAAAACACAUCAACCAUAGCAAAGAUGUUGCUGCUACUAUCUCUCUGUGAGGGACAGAAACAGCCUUAAAAAAAAAAACAGCAUUACUUACUGGAGAUCAAGAAAGAAAGUAGACAGGUACUGAAGGGCGAUGAAAUAUAUAAAUAUAAGAACUGCAAGUCUCCAAGAUGCCACCCAUUCACCAGACAAAAAACAUGAUGUAGGUUCAGGGUUUACUUCCCCCUCUCUUUCAUACAUGUUUACCAUUCAUAAGGGUGUUACUGAUCUUCUCAUUUAACUCUCAGCUGAAGGGAAGUAAGUGUAUUUCCCAAAACGUCAAACUAUUUUAAAAAUUGUUGUAAACUGUUGAUUCCACAGACUUUAAAUGUUGGACGUUGACUGUUUAUGAACUCAUGUUGAGGAAUGCAUGCUAAAAGAAAAGUUUAGUUUGCUUUAAAGUCACUGUGUGGAUUUUUUAUGGAAAAUUAAUCUAUCUCGGUGCAGUCUGUACAUGUUUUCUGCCUCUGCUGCAUGAAUUGUCGUCUGCCACAUUACCCUCUUUCAUAUUACCACUAGAUGUCGCCAAAAAUGAGGAUUCCCAUAUUCUACACAUAGUGGCUUUAAGAUGAAGAAUGAUUCAUGUUUGUGGCAUGUUUGAAUAUACUGUAUGUUGUUUGAUGUGGUCUGAACAAAAUGCAGGAACCGAAGAUUUAUGGUUGUAAAAGCAGUGGAUGUGAAAAUGCUUCUAAACCUCAGUCACACUCCAACAACAUCACCAGACACAUUAAAAUAAACCAGCCUUUCUCAAAACUGCAUUUUGUUCUUAUUAUUAUAAAUAUUGUAACAUGUGUUUGGCAAAAUACAAGUGAUAUUUCUAACAUGUUUUCUUCUGCUCUUCAUUUGCUGCCUUGGAUGAUUUUUUUCUGUUCUUGUUAACACUAUUCAGAAGAAAAUUAUGAUUAUUAUAUGCUGUGUGGUUCUGGGAAUUAUCAUUGCUUCCGUCGUUGGGGGAGUGUUGGCCUAAACCUCAGCCACAGUCCCCACUAAAACACACACAACAGAGCAAAAACAGAACAGAUCCACCUUUUCAGUUCCAUGUUUUUUUCAUGAAUGCAAUCUAUUACACAUAUAGCACAAGCGUUGUUACACACGAUACAUUUUACACACAGUGUACAGGGCCAGAGGUGUUUUUCGCAUGAGUUGCUAUUUUGUAAAUGUGUGGUGCUGCAAAAUGUUUAUCUGAGUGUUGAGUGUUGUCAGCGAUAUGUUUCCAAAAGUUAAUUAUUGAAUGAAAAAGCUACUAAAUGAUAUGUAACACUAUACUGAUACAUUCCGACUUCCAAAUAUGACACUUAUUGAGUUGUAAAGUCCAUUUUGUGUUGUAUGGGCAAAGUGACAGGCCACUUAUCCGCAGUGUUGUCAAGGCCACGUUAUCUAUAGACCUCUGUUGGCUUUAUCUUUUCUAGUCUUUACUUUCUCUCUAAUCUCCUCUACCUCCCUCUAAAAACCCUGCAUGGUUUAGUUCACUGUAAACUAGUGUUUUUUUAUUCUAUUGCAAAAGGGAAAAGAAGACAGUUGUACUGAUGUUGGAUAUUUUGCUCGCAGAAUCGUCAUACUGCCAAACCUUCAUAAAGUCAUCUCUUCUAGUUUACAGAAGCAACGCUACUGUACUUUUUUUUAUCUGGCCUUACCAAUUGUGCAGCAUUUCCAACCGUUGCUCCAGUGUUGAGUCUGAGUGAGUGCAUGCAUACGGGUGAAAAAGGAUAUGUUCAUUUAUCUUCAUGUUUGAACAUGUGAGUUGUGCGAUAAGAACAUGAGUGCUUGUUAGUAGCCACUUGUGUCUUUGUUUUGUAUAAAGUGUAAACUGAUAUAAAGCUCUCUAACACUGCCAGUAUGUUCAAAUAAGCUGUUAAUAUGGAGUCUAGUCUGGUUGGAUUGAUAAUUCUGAUCUGUAAGUGACAAACCAUUGUUGUUUUAUGUCUUUUUAUAAAUCUCAAGCUUUAAACAGAGCAUAUCCUUCUGUAAAGCUACUUUUCUGUUUAUUUCUAAUAAGUGAACUUGAAGAGUCAAUGAAAACAUCAGCAUGAUCUCAAAGUAGCCCCGUAAAAGACUCUCAUAUCAGUUUUCUGGCGACACAUCAGACAUGCACAGACUGCAACCAUGUUACCAUGUUGCCUACUCAACUUGUUGCCUUUGUGUUGUGUAUUGUGAUAACAUGAUUCUGUUUGUUUCAUUUGAGUAUUUUUUUUUCAAGUAAAGUUUGUCUGAAAAAGCUAAAUCUGAGUUUGUGCCUUGCUUCAUGGAGACAGGGUGUUUUAAUAAGUGGAUUAAAUGGUGUUUAUUCCAGAUAAA